GGCUCUGUGAUUACAUGGCCCUCUCUUGGGCAAUAUACGCUAUUCCGACUAGAAAGAUCAUGAGCUGAAAAUACGAUGUUUCUUAUGAGAGCC